AUUAGAUAAAAAACCAAUGCCCUUCGGGGCUUUCUGGUGAUUCAUAAUAACUAAACGAAUCGCAUGGCCUUGAGCCGGCGAUGGUUCAUUCAAAUUUCUGCCCUAUCAACUUUCGAUUGUAGGAUAGAGGCCUACAAUGGUUUCAACGGGUAACGGAGAAUUAGGGUUCGGUUCCGGAGAGGGAGCCUGAGAAACGGCUACCACAUCCAAGGAAGGCAGCAGGCGCGCAAAUUACCCAAUCCCGACACGGGGAGGUAGUGACAAUAAAUACUGAUACAGGGCUCUUUUGGGUCUUGUAAUUGGAAUGAGUACAAUUUAAAUCCCUUAACGAGGAACAAUUGGAGGGCAAGUCUGGUGCCAGCAGCCGCGGUAAUUCCAGCUCCAAUAGCGUAUAUUAAAGUUGUUGCAGUUAAAAAGCCGUAAUUGAACCUUGGGUCUGGCUGGCCGGUCCGCCUCACCGCGUGCACUGGUCCGGCCGGACCUUUCCUCUUGGGGAUCCGCAUGCCCUUUACUGGG
rnacentral:rRNA from 1 species